rnacentral:rRNA from 1 species
GACGAACGCUGGCGGCGUGCUUAACACAUGCAAGUCGAACGAGUGGCGAACGGGUGAGUAAUACGUGGGUACCCUGCCCUCUUUUUGGGAUAAGCCUUUGAAACGGGGUCUAUUACCGCAUAACGGCGGCUGGGCUCGCGGCCUAACAUCUUGUUGGUGGGGUGAUGGCCUACCAUGGGGGUGACGGGUAGCCGGCCUGAGAGGGUGACCGGCAACAGUGGGACUGAGAGACGGCCCAGACUGCUAGGGGAGGCAGAAGUGGGGGAUAUUGCGAAAUGGGGGAAAGCCUGAUGCAGCGACGCCGCGUGGGGGAUGAAGGCGUUCGGGUUGUAAACCUCUUUCGCUAGCGAACGGGUAGGUGGAGAAGAAGCGCCGGCUAACUACGUGCCAGCAGCCGCGGUAAUAC